rnacentral:rRNA from 1 species
UACGUAGGCAGCAAGCGUUGUUCGGAAUUACUGGGCGUAAAGAGUGUGUAGGUGGUGUCGUAAGUUUGGUGUGAAAUCUCCCGGCUUAACUGGGAGGGUGCGCCGAAGACUGCGAUGCUGGAGUAUGGGAGAGGAAAGCGGAAUUCCUGGUGUAGCGGUGAAAUGCGUAGAUAUCAGGAGGAACACCUGCGGUGUAGACGGCUUUCUGGACCGUAACUGACGCUGAGACACGAAAGCGUGGGUAGCAAACAGG